rnacentral:rRNA from 1 species
GACGAACCGUGCGAACGUUGUUCGGAAUCACUGGGCUUAGAGGGCGCGUAGGCGGGCCGGCAAGUCAGGGGUGAAAUCUUCCAGCUCAACUGGAAAAGGGCCUUUGAUACUGUCGGCCUCGAGGGAGGUAGGGGCAUGCGGAACUUCCGGUGGAGCGGUGAAAUGCGUAGAUAUACGGAAGGAACGCCGGUGGCGAAAGCGGCGUGCUGGACCUCUUCUGACGCUGAGGCGCGAAAGCUAGGGGAGCAAACGGG